rnacentral:lncRNA from 1 species
UGCUACCUCCCAUUCCUUAUAAUUCCUUUAUCUCUUAUUCCUCACCCAAGAUGCCUCUGGAGAUUUUGCAGAGGUCACCCAGAGGUAACAUACAGUAAGCCGAGGGCAGGCCCCUCUAGCCUAGGUCUCACCAGUGCUUUCAUUUCCCUUUGCAUUAGAAUGUAAAGAAAAAUCAGGAAUUUAAAAUAGCAAAAAUUGACCAAAACUACAUUUUUGUUAGAUUGCCUAAGGUUCUGUGUUGUUGUUGUUUGUUCAUUUGAGACAGGACCUCACUCUGUCACUCAGGCUAGGGUUCAGUGGCACAAUCAUAGCUCACUGCAGCCUAGAUUUCCUGAGCUCAAGCAGUUCUCUCACCUCAGCCUCCCAAGUAGCUUAGAGACUACAGGUGCACACCACCACACCUGGCUAAUAUGUAUUUUUUAUUUUUAGCAGAGAUGAGGUCUCAUUAUGUUGCCCAGGCCUGUCUUGAACUCCUAAACCCAAGCAAUCCUCAAUUUUUGAUACAUAGCUUUGCUAGGUGUAGGAUUCUUAGUUGACAGUUUGUUUUUUUUUUCUGUGAGCACUGGCCAAGGAAAUUUUGAAAGAAGAAAUAGAGAAACUUCAAAUAAGUCAAUUAAAUGAACAAAUCAAGAGCUAAGAAACAACAAAGAAUGAGUACUG